GUAGGCGGCUGGUCGCNUCUGUCGUGAAAUCCUCUGGCUUAACUGGGGGCUUGCGGUGGGUACGGGCCGGCUUGAGUGCGGUAGGGGAGGCUGGAACUCCUGGUGUAGCGGUGGAAUGCGCAGAUAUCAGGAAGAACACCGGUGGCGAAGGCGGGUCUCUGGGCCGUUACUGACGCUGAGGAGCGAAAGCGUGGGGAGCGAACAGGAUUAGAUACCCUGGUAGUCCACGCCGUAAACGUUGGGCACUAGGUGUGGGGGGCCUUUUCCGGGUUUUCCGCGCCGUAGCUAACGCAUUAAGUGCCCCGCCUGGGGAGUACGGCCGCAAGGCUAAAACUCAAAGGAAUUGACGGGGGCCCGCACAAGCGGCGGAGCAUGCGGAUUAAUUCGAUGCAACGCGAAGAACCUUACCAAGGCUUGACAUGUGCCGGUCGGCUCCGGAGACGGGGUUUCCUCCUUGUGGGGCCGGUUCACAGGUGGUGCAUGGUUGUCGUCAGCUCGUGUCGUGAGAUGUUGGGUUAAGUCCCGCAACGAGCGCAACCCUUGUCUCGUGUUGCCAGCACGUUGUGGUGGGGACUCGCGGGAGACUGCCGGGGUCAACUCGGAGGAAGGUGGGGAUGACGUCAAAUCAUCAUGCCCCUUAUGUCUUGGGCUUCACGCAUGCUACAAUGGCCGGUACAGAGGGCUGCGAUACUGUGAGGUGGAGCGAAUCCCUUAAAGCCGGUCUCAGUUCGGAUCGGUGUCUGCAACUCGACACCGUGAAGUUGGAGUCGCUAGUAAUCGCAGAUCAGCAACGCUGCGGUGAAUACGUUCUCGGGCCUUGUACACACCGCCCGUCACGUCAUGAAAGUCGGCAACACCCGAAG
rnacentral:rRNA from 1 species